UGCUUAUGAAUCUGCCUAUUAGUGGGGGACAACAUCUCGAAAGGGAUGCUAAUACCGCAUACGUCCUACGGGAGAAAGCAGGGGACCUUCGGGCCUUGCGCUAAUAGAUGAGCCUAAGUCGGAUUAGCUAGUUGGUGGGGUAAAGGCCUACCAAGGCGACGAUCUGUAGCGGGUCUGAGAGGAUGAUCCGCCACACUGGGACUGACACACGGCCCACACUCCUACGGGAGGCAGCAGUGGGGAAUAUUGGACAAUGGGGGGAACCCUGAUCCAGCCAUGCCGCGUGUGUGAAGAAGGCCUUUUGGUUGUAAAGCACUUUAAGCGAGGAGGAGGCUACCGAGAUUAAUACUCUUGGAUAGUGGACGUUACUCGCAGAAUAAGCACCGGCUAACUCUGUGCCAGCAGCCGCGGUAAUACAGAGGGUGCAAGCGUUAAUCGGAUUUACUGGGCGUAAAGCGCGCGUAGGUGGCCAAUUAAGUCAAAUGUGAAAUCCCCGAGCUUAACUUGGGAAUUGCAUUCGAUACUGGUUGGCUAGAGUAUGGGAGAGGAUGGUAGAAUUCCAGGUGUAGCGGUGAAAUGCGUAGAGAUCUGGAGGAAUACCGAUGGCGAAGGCAGCCAUCUGGCCUAAUACUGACACUGAGGUGCGAAAGCAUGGGGAGCAAACAGGAAUAGAUACCCUGGUAGUCCAUGCCGUACACGAUGUCUACUAGCCGUUGGGG
rnacentral:rRNA from 1 species